rnacentral:rRNA from 1 species
GCGGGGCACGUGAAACCCUGUCUGAACAUGGGGGGGACCAUCCUCCAAGGCUAAAUACUCGUAAUCGACCGAUAGUGAACUAGUACCGUGAGGGAAAGGCGAAAAGAACCCCGGGAGGGGAGUGAAAUAGAUCCUGAAACCGCAUGCAUACAAACAGUGGGAGCCUCGCAAGGGGUGACUGCGUACCUUUUGUAUAAUGGGUCAGCGACUUACGUUCAGUAGCAAGCUUAACCGAAUAGGGGAGGCGUAGCGAAAGCGAGUCUGAAAAGGGCGAUAUAGUUGCUGGACGUAGACCCGAAACCAGAUGAUCUACCCAUGGCCAGGAUGAAGGUGGGGUAACACCCACUGGAGGUCCGAACCCACUAGUGUUGAAAAACUAGGGGAUGAGCUGUGGGUAGGGGUGAAAGGCUAAACAAAUCUGGAGAUAGCUGGUUCUCCCCCGAAAACUAUUAGGUAGUGCCUCAUAUGGACACUUCCGGGGUAGAGCACUGUAAUGGUUGAGGGGGUCG